UUAGCCCUACGGGGGGCAGCAGUGGGGAAUAUUGCACAAUGGGCGAAAGCCUGAUGCAGCAACGCCGCGUGAAGGAAGAAGGGUUUCGGCUCGUAAACUUCUAUUAACAGGGACGAAAGAAAUGACGGUACCUGAAUAAGAAGCCCCGGCUAACUACGUGCCAGCAGCCGCGGUAAUACGUAGGGGGCAAGCGUUAUCCGGAAUUACUGGGUGUAAAGGGUGAGUAGGCGGCAUGGUAAGCCAGAUGUGAAAGCCUUUGGCUUAACCCGCGGAUUGCCUUUGGAAUUAUCAAGCUAGAG
rnacentral:rRNA from 1 species